UCUAGGGAGCAUGUGCACACUUGUCAUCUUUAUAUCUCCACAUGUGCACCUCUUGUAGACUUUGGAUAUCUUUCUGAAUGGCUAAUUCAGGUUUUGAGGAUUGACUUUUUGGUCUCUCCUUACAUUUCCAAACCUAUGUUCCUUCAUCUACACUAUGUUAUAGAAUGUAAUAAAUAGGCCUUUUUUGCCUAUAAACCUAUACGGGGUUCGGCAACGGAUCUCUUGGCUCUCGCAUCGAUGAAGAACGCAGCGAAAUGCGAUAAGUAAUGUGAAUUGCAGAAUUCAGUGAAUCAUCGAAUCUUUGAACGCACCUUGCACUCCUUGGUAUUCCGAGGAGUAUGCCUGUUUGAGGGGCAUUAAUAUAUCAACCUCUUCAAGCUUUUUUGCCUGUGGAGUGUUUGGAUUUGGGGGUUGUGCUGGUCUUGUUUUUUUUCUGAGGUCAGCUCCCCUGAAAUGUAUUAGCAGAACAAUUUGUUGACUGUUCAUUGAUGUGAUAACUAUCUACAUUAUUGACGGUGACGCAGUAGUUCAGCUUCUUAACAGUCCAUUGACUUGGACAAAUUUUCAUUAAUGUGACCUCAAAUCAGGUAGGACUACCCGCUGAACUUAAGCAUAUCAAUAAGCGG
rnacentral:rRNA from 1 species